AGAGUUUGAUUAUGGCUCAGAACGUACGCUGGCGGCACGCCUAACACAUGCAAGUCGAACGAAGUAGCAAUACUUAGUGGCAGACGGGUGAGUAACAUGUAGGUAUCUGCCCUUUGGCCUGGAAUAACACGAGGAAACUUGUGCUAAUACCGGAUAAGUCUUUACGGAGAAAGCUUUAUGCACCAUUGGAUGAGCCUGCACUUGAUUAGUUUGUUGGUGGGGUAAUGGCCUACCAAGACUGUGAUCAAUAGCUGAUUUGAGAGGAUGAUCAGCCACAUUGGGACUGAGACACGGCCCAAACUCCUACGGGAGGCAGCAGUGGGGAAUCUUGCACAAUGGAGGAAACUCUGAUGCAGCGAUGCCGCGUGAGUGAAGAAGGCCCUUGGGUUGUAAAGCUCUUUCGUCGGGGAAGAAAAUGACUGUACCCGAAUAAGAAGGUCCGGCUAACUUCGUGCCAGCCGCCGCGGUAAUUC
rnacentral:rRNA from 1 species